AAUUAACUAAAAUCUGAAAAUGGCAUGGCUGCCCAUCAGGAAGAGCCUGGCGACAUGUUUAUAUGAAAUGGAAAGCCAGAUCACGGCCCUGGGAGCUUACGAAAGGAAAACAUCGCUCAGAUAGUUUUGAAUGGAGCCUUGAAGACCAGUGUAAUUUGGAAGGAUGCACAGGAAUAAGGCAGCAAGGGGUGGGACAAUUGCCCAGGCCCUUCCCGGCUGUCUCACCCCACAGUGUCCAUGUCAGGUCAGCUCCUAGUUUCUCACACUGCUUCUACUGAUGCUGCUUUCUACUGAUAGUGCUUUACGUUCUCGCCACAAUUCCCCUUCUUUCAGGCCCCUUGUCUGUGUGACCUUUCACCCAGGCAGCCGAGGUUAACCUAUUGCUCUUCUGUACCUCUCACCCAUGACCACACCCACACCACAAAGCCACGGAAGCCCACAGCACAAAUGCAGUGAGACAUCUUCUGGAAAGAGGCCAGCAAAGUUCUAUUGAACCCAAACGUGACACCACCAACAGAUCAAAGAAACAAAUCCACUCCACUCUAGCUUGGUGAACCAGUGAGUUUACACAGGCUGCUGUGUCUCUGAAAAGUCCGUCUGAGCCUGGGUGACAUUACUGGAGUUCCCUGCACCAUUGGUGACAACACUGAAGAAGUCUCCUGCACCAUUGGAUGCAGCUCCAGCAGAGAUGCUGUUGAUGUCAUCUCUGAGAGGUCACAUGAGGGCAACAAUGGAUUUUACUCCACCUCACUCUCAAGAGGAGACACUGGGUGGAAAAACACCCAUUUCCAGAGCUGUUUUCCGCUGGGAGGUGCUUGCAAAGCUAUGAAUGCUGAUUAUACUGGUUGAUACUCGGAACCUGCAGACUUUCAAACAAAACAUGGGCUUUGGAGUCUGGCAUUUAUCUGGAUCCUGUAUUGUUGCCUUUUAAGAAGAUCCUUGACCUCAACUUCUGGGCUUCCUGGAAUUCGCUUUUACAGAUUUAAGGAGAUGGCUCCAAAGUUGCUGAAAAGACCAAAUU